rnacentral:tRNA from 1 species
AAUUAAUGAGCUUGUAUAGCAUAUGUUUUGAAAACAUAAUAAAGGAGUAAAAUCUUCUAUUAAUUU